rnacentral:rRNA from 1 species
CCAGGAUGGGCGUCUAUCUGCAGUCGACGCUUUGUGGUCCAACUGAUUUGAAGAGCUUGCUCAGAUAUGACGAUGGACAUUGCAAAGAGUGGCGAACGGGUGAGUAACACGUGGGAAACCUACCUCUUAGCAGGGGAUAACACUUGGAAACAAGUGCUAAUACCGUAUAACACUAAUAACCGCAUGGUUAUUAGUUAAAAGAUGGUCUUGCUAUCACUAAGAGAUGGUCCCGCGGUGUAUUAGCUAGUUGGUAAGGUAAUGGCUUACCAAGGCAAUGAUACAUAGCCGAGUUGAGAGACUGAUCGGCCACAAUGGGACUGAGACACGGCCCAUACUCCUACGGGAGGCAGCAGUAGGGAAUCUUCCACAAUGGACGAAAGUCUGAUGGAGCAACGCCGCGUGUGUGAUGAAGGGUUUCGGCUCGUAAAACACUGUUGUAAGAGAAGAAUGACAUUGAGAGUAACUGUUCAGUGUGUGACGGUAUCUUACCAGAAAGGAACGGCUAAAUACGUGCCAGCAGCCGCGGUAAUACGUAUGUUCCAAGCGUUAUCCGGAUUUAUUGGGCGUAAAGCGAGCGCAGACGGUUAUUUAAGUCCGAAGUGAAAGCCCACAGCUUAACUGUGGAAGUGCUUUGGAAACUGGAUAACUUGAGUGCAGUAGAGGAGAGUGGAACUCCAUGUGUAGCGGUGAAAUGCGUAGAUAUAUGGAAGAACACCAGUGGCGAAGGCGGCUCUCUGGACUGUAACUGACGUUGAGGCUCGAAAGUGUGGGUAGCAAACAGGAUUAGAUACCCUGGUAGUCCACACCGUAAACGAUGAGUGCUAGAUGUUUGAGGGUUUCCGCCCUUAAGUGUCGCAGCUAACGCAUUAAGCACUCCGCCUGGGGAGUACGACCGCAAGGUUGAAACUCAAAGGAAUUGACGGGGACCCGCACAAGCGGUGGAGCAUGUGGUUUAAUUCGAAGCAACGCGAAGAACCCUUACCAGGUCUUGACAUCCUUUGACCACUUCAGAGAUGAAGCUUUCCCUUCGGGGACAAAGUGACAGGUGUGCAUGGAUUGUCGUCAGCUCGUGUCGUGAGAUGUUGGGUUAAGUCCCGCAACGAGCGCAACCCUUUAUUUACCU